UUAAGCGACUAAGCGUACACGGUGGAUGCCCUGGCAGUCAGAGGCGAUGAAGGACGUGCUAAUCUGCGAAAAGCGUCGGUAAGGUGAUAUGAACCGUUAUAACCGGCGAUGUCCGAAUGGGGAAACCCAGUGCAAUUCGUUGCACUAUCGUUAACUGAAUACAUAGGUUAACGAGGCGAACCGGGGGAACUGAAACAUCUAAGUACCCCGAGGAAAAGAAAUCAACCGAGAUUCCCCCAGUAGCGGCGAGCGAACGGGGAGCAGCCCAGAGUCUGAAUCAGCUUGUGUGUUAGUGGAACGGUCUGGAAAGUCCGACGGUACAGGGUGAUAGUCCCGUACACCAAAAUGCACAGGCUGUGAACUCGAAGAGUAGGGCGGGACACGUGGUAUCCUGUCUGAAUAUGGGGGGACCAUCCUCCAAGGCUAAAUACUCCUGACUGACCGAUAGUGAACCAGUACCGUGAGGGAAAGGCGAAAAGAACCCCGGCGAGGGGAGUGAAAAAGAACCUGAAACCGUGUACGUACAAGCAGUGGGAGCACCUUCGGGUGUGACUGCGUACCUUUUGUAUAAUGGGUCAGCGACUUAUAUUCUGUAGCAAGGUUAACCGUAUAGGGGAGCCGCAGGGAAACCGAGUCUUAACUGGGCGUUAAGUUGCAGGGUAUAGACCCGAAACCCGGUGAUCUAGCCAUGGGCAGGUUGAAGGUUGGGUAACACUAACUGGAGGACCGAACCGACUAAUGUUGAAAAAUUAGCGGAUGACUUGUGGCUGGGGGUGAAAGGCCAAUCAAACCGGGAGAUAGCUGGUUCUCCCCGAAAGCUAUUUAGGUAGCGCCUCGUGAACUCAUCUUCGGGGGUAGAGCACUGUUUCGGCUAGGGGGUCAUCCCGACUUACCAACCCGAUGCAAACUACGAAUACCGAAGAAUGUUAUCACGGGAGACACACGGCGGGUGCUAACGUCCGUCGUGAAGAGGGAAACAACCCAGACCGCCAGCUAAGGUCCCAAAGUCAUGGUUAAGUGGGAAACGAUGUGGGAAGGCACAGACAGCCAGGAUGUUGGCUUAGAAGCAGCCAUCAUUUAAAGAAAGCGUAAUAGCUCACUGGUCGAGUCGGCCUGCGCGGAAGAUGUAACGGGGCUAAACCAUGCACCGAAGCUGCGGCAGCGACACUAUGUGUUGUUGGGUAGGGGAGCGUUCUGUAAGCCUGCGAAGGUGUGCUGUGAGGCAUGCUGGAGGUAUCAGAAGUGCGAAUGCUGACAUAAGUAACGAUAAAGCGGGUGAAAAGCCCGCUCGCCGGAAGACCAAGGGUUCCUGUCCAACGUUAAUCGGGGCAGGGUGAGUCGACCCCUAAGGCGAGGCCGAAAGGCGUAGUCGAUGGGAAACAGGUUAAUAUUCCUGUACUUGGUGUUACUGCGAAGGGGGGACGGAGAAGGCUAUGUUAGCCGGGCGACGGUUGUCCCGGUUUAAGCAUGUAGGCUGGUUGUCCAGGCAAAUCCGGAUAAUCAAGGCUGAGGUGUGAUGACGAGGUACUACGGUGCUGAAGUAACAAAUGCCCUGCUUCCAGGAAAAGCCUCUAAGCAUCAGGUAACAUCAAAUCGUACCCCAAACCGACACAGGUGGUCAGGUAGAGAAUACCAAGGCGCUUGAGAGAACUCGGGUGAAGGAACUAGGCAAAAUGGUGCCGUAACUUCGGGAGAAGGCACGCUGGUGUGUAGGUGAAGUCCCUGCGGAUGGAGCUGAGACCAGUCGAAGAUACCAGCUGGCUGCAACUGUUUAUUAAAAACACAGCACUGUGCAAACACGAAAGUGGACGUAUACGGUGUGACGCCUGCCCGGUGCCGGAAGGUUAAUUGAUGGGGUUAUCCGUAAGGAGAAGCUCUUGAUCGAAGCCCCGGUAAACGGCGGCCGUAACUAUAACGGUCCUAAGGUAGCGAAAUUCCUUGUCGGGUAAGUUCCGACCUGCACGAAUGGCGUAAUGAUGGCCAGGCUGUCUCCACCCGAGACUCAGUGAAAUUGAACUCGCUGUGAAGAUGCAGUGUACCCGCGGCAAGACGGAAAGACCCCGUGAACCUUUACUAUAGCUUGACACUGAACAUUGAGCCUUGAUGUGUAGGAUAGGUGGGAGGCUUUGAAGCGUGGACGCCAGUCUGCGUGGAGCCAACCUUGAAAUACCACCCUUUAAUGUUUGAUGUUCUAACGUUGGCCCCUUACCGGGGUUGCGGACAGUGUCUGGUGGGUAGUUUGACUGGGGCGGUCUCCUCCCAAAGCGUAACGGAGGAGCACGAAGGUUAGCUAAUCCUGGUCGGACAUCAGGAGGUUAGUGCAAUGGCAUAAGCUAGCUUGACUGCGAGCGUGACGGCGCGAGCAGGUGCGAAAGCAGGUCAUAGUGAUCCGGUGGUUCUGAAUGGAAGGGCCAUCGCUCAACGGAUAAAAGGUACUCCGGGGAUAACAGGCUGAUACCGCCCAAGAGUUCAUAUCGACGGCGGUGUUUGGCACCUCGAUGUCGGCUCAUCACAUCCUGGGGCUGAAGUAGGUCCCAAGGGUAUGGCUGUUCGCCAUUUAAAGUGGUACGCGAGCUGGGUUUAGAACGUCGUGAGACAGUUCGGUCCCUAUCUGCCGUGGGCGCUGGAGAAUUGAGGGGGGCUGCUCCUAGUACGAGAGGACCGGAGUGGACGCAUCACUGGUGUUCGGGUUGUCAUGCCAAUGGCACUGCCCGGUAGCUAAAUGCGGAAGAGAUAAGUGCUGAAAGCAUCUAAGCACGAAACUUGCCCCGAGAUGAGUUCUCCCUGAGACUUUAAGUCUCCUGAAGGAACGUUAAAGACGAUGACGUUGAUAGGCCGGGUGUGUAAGCGCAGCGAUGCGUUGAGCUAACCGGUACUAAUGAACCGUGAGGCUUAACCUU
rnacentral:rRNA from 1 species